UUUUUUUUAAACUAGGUUUAAACCUCACGUAAAAUCACUUUUUAUAUUUGUGUUGUCUUCAUCUGUGCCUUUUUAGGUAAAUUUAAUUUCUACAAUGACUUUCUGGUGCCUAUGAGCUAGCUAUCACCUACCUUGAAGGUGCUUAGAGGUGAAGGUACUGUUUUCAAAAGCACAUCACUGUGGCUUUCUACCCUUAGAGUCCCCCUCUCGCCUUCUCUCCUCUGCUUUUCUUGAUGUCACUUAAAUAAUACCACUGUUUAUUAGGAUUUAAAAGAAAGUCACACCCUCAGUACGCUUUGACCGUGCUUCUAGUUUAUAACCAUAGCCAUGUUUGACUUUCAGAUGUUUGGCAUUUUUAUAAGAUAUUACAAGAAUAAACUGGAAUGCAGCUUGUAAUGGUUUCGAGAAUGGUAAUGAAGAUUAUGCUAGGUAGAAAACACUACAAAAGCAGAUGUGUGGAAUCUUUUCCUUUUCCUAGACUUUGUAUUUAUUUAAAGGCAAACAAAACCUAGAGUAUCCCGCUAUUUUUAGUCUAGAUCUGUAGCAACUAUAAUCUGAAAGAGAAACUUGUUUAAAAAAAAAACAAACACUGUGAACCCCAACAGGCCUGGAGGAUCAAGAAUCAGAGACAUAGUUGAUUUUUUAGGCUUUGGCCUGCAGCGCUUCUCAUUGUUAGCCUCAGUUUCCCCCAAAGGUCAGACAAGUACUAGCAAUUUCCCAGACAACCUCACUGAUUUUAGUCAACCAAGGAGCAAGUACUUGCUCUAGAAUCAAUGUUGGUAAUGGUCAACAGCUCAUCGGCCGUGCUGGCGCAUCUUAACGUAGAGCCAGUGUGAGUUCAGGGCCAGCACUGUCUUCCCAGCAGACCUUUCUGAUUCCGCGCUAUACACGAGAGACUUAUUAACCCAUAUUGUGAUGUUCCAAGAACAUUAAAACAUCUCUGGAGUGAAAUGACACUCGUCUGUGUUCUGAAUACAGAACAGUUUAUGAGUAUUAAUUUAUUGAUAAUCUUAGUAGUAUUUUCCUGUUAGAAAGCCUCCCCUUCUGCUCAGAGGCUGGCAUCAAUUUUUGUGAUUUUGUAGUUACAUAGACAAGUACUUCCUUAAAUUUGAGUUAUCUACCAAGGAUUUAUUAGUAUGGAGACAGACUGAGUGUGUUUAGUGGGGAAGAUCCAUAUAGACUAUGGAAAUGCCUAAUUUCUGGCACAUGUGACUGUGCACAUCAUCUAUGAUCCCUGAACUCAGAGGCACAGGACGAUCAUGGCUUUGAGGCCAGUAGCCAGUUCAAAGCAAGCCUGAGCUUCCCCGAGCGACCUGGCACCGAGAGACUGGACUCAGUAGUACAGCAUUUUCUCUAGAAUGGGCAAAAAGAAUGAGGUCUGAAUCUGAAUUCUUUUAAAGAAAUGAAUUUCAGACUGUACCCUGGGAAUUAGAUUACGUGGAGAGGCAAGUAAGCUUUUUGAUUAAAAAGAACUCACUGCAUGGAGUUGGCUAUUCUUUAAUGUGUGACUUAUGAAAUAACUACUGUCUCUGUGUGUACAGCAUGUAAAUUUGAAGCUAUGUGAAUGUUCAUUCAUAGGUUUCUGGGGUUUUUUUCUAAAAUAUUUCCAAUAGUGUUUAGAGUGUUCUCAGCUGCCUUAUUUCAGUGUGAACAGAUAACAUUCCUAUUUUAUGUGGUGAAUGCUUUAAAUGUGUCACUUACAGAGUAGUUGUAGAAAACAGCUGGCACGAUUUUAAGUGGUUUGCGACAUUAUAUAUUAUAUAUGUACAUAUAUGUUUAUAACAUUAUUGUGUUUCAUAGUAUAACUGUUCUGGGCAAGUUUUAAUAUUUCAAAUGCCUCUGGAUAUUCCAGCAAUAAAGGCAACAUGUUCUGCAGUCAAAUUUCUCGUUUGCCUACUUUGACACUAAAAUAAUCUGUAUUUGAGCAAUAUUCCUUUUGAAAAUAUUAUAGAAUGAGGGAAUAAAUUUGUGAAUUGUGGUUAUUUCUCCUUUAGGAAGGCUGACCAUUUGUUUACCUUCCUUGAAUGUGACCUUAAAUUUUAAGUUCAGGCUUACAAACUAUGUCCCAGUUUGUAAUUUAGAGAAUAGAGGCCAUCAGUUGGGCUUGUUGUUGAUUCAGACACUAAGAAGUCUGCCAAAGACGAGCUUUGGGAUUUCUGCUAAUUUGUUUAAUGACACAGGUGCUGAGAAGGACCACAGUUCACCAACUGACUUAUUCUUGUCCCUAAUCGUGAAUUUUGGCAAUAAACACAGUUGUAUUAAGAACACUAAUUUGACACCCACAUUUGCAAAGUUAUAGUGUCAGUUUCAGAUUUUGUAUUUCAAAUAUCUGGAUUACAUAUUCAAUGAUGCAGAUUUCAAAGUUUGUAAGAACAGUUUUGUCUAAACACAGAACCUUGCUCUUAGUUUUGUGACCUUGUGUACUUUUGAAAUAAAAUGAAGAAAGC
rnacentral:lncRNA from 1 species